rnacentral:rRNA from 1 species
UUUGAGGGUUUGAUCCUGGCCCAGGAUGAACGCUAGCGGCGUGCUUUAAGCAUGCAAGUGGGACGGUCCCUGCGGACAGUCGCGAACGGCUGAGUAAUACGUAAGUACUUACACCAUGGUGUGGAAUACCUCCGCGAAAGCGGGGCUAAUACCGCAUGACCUCAGGCUAACUCCGUGCCAGCAGCAGCGGUAAUACGGAGGGUGCAAGCGUUAUCCGGAUUUAUUGGGCGUAAAGCGUUUCGUAGGCGAUGAAAUAAGUCACUUUUCAAAGACCACGGCUUAACCGGGGGAAGGGGAGUGAUACUAUUUUAUUUGAAUCAUUUAGGGGCUACCGGAACUAUCGGUGUAGGGGUGAAAUCCGUUGAUAUCGAUAGGAACACCAAGGGCGAAGGCAGGUAGCUGGGAGUUGAUUGACGCUGAGGAACGAAAGCUAGGGGAGCGAAAGGGAUUAGAGACCCCUGUAGUCCUAGCCGUAAACUAUGCUCGCUAGCCCUCUGUCCGAGUUUACUCGGUGGGGAGCGUAAGCUAACGCGUUAAGCGAGCCGCCUGGGGAGUACGAACGCAAGUUUAAAACUCAAAGGAAUUGACGGGGACCCGCACAACCAGUGGAGCAUGUG